GUGCUUACUUAGGCAGUACACAUACUAAAACUGGAACAAUACAGAGAAGAUGAGCAUCUCAAAUUGAGAUGUGCUAUAAUAUAAAAGAGAUGCUGGAUUUCAAU
rnacentral:snRNA from 1 species